rnacentral:rRNA from 1 species
CGUGUAGGCGGCUCAUCAAGUCUGGUGUGAAAUCGUCGGGCUUAACCCGACAUAUGCGCUGGAAACUGGUGGGCUUGAGUUCCGGAGGGGAAGCUGGAAUUCCAGGUGUAGGGGUGAAAUCUGUAGAUAUCUGGAAGAACACCGGUGGCGAAGGCGAGCUUCUAUUCGAGGACUGACGCUGAGGCGCGAAAGCGUGGGGAGCAAACAGGAUUAGAUACCCUGGUAGUCCACGCUGUAAACGAUGUGCACUAGGCGUGGGGCACGUACGUGUUCUGUGCCGUAGCUAACGUGAUAAGUGCACCGCCUGGGGAGUAUGCUCGCAAGGGUGAA